AACGAACGCUGGCGGCGUGCCUCAUACAUGCAAGUCGAGCGAGAAUCUCAAGCCCCGGCUUGCCGGGAUUUGAGAGGAAAGCGGCGAACGGGUGAGUAACACGUGGGUAACCUGCCCAGAAGUUUGGAAUAAGCCCUCGAAAGGGGGUCUAAUACCGGAAACAUCCCGGGGGGGCCUCUUCCUGGGAUCAAAGGUGGCGUAAGCCAUCACUUCUGGAGGGGCCCGCGGCCUAUUAGCUUGUUGGUGAGGUAACGGCUCACCAAGGCGACGAUGGGUAGCCGGCCUGAGAGGGUGUCCGGCCACACUGGGACUGAGAUACGGCCCAGACUCCUACGGGAGGCAGCAGUAGGGAAUAUUGCGCAAUGGCCUAACGGCUGACGCAGCGACGCCGCGUGGGCGAUGAAGCUUCUUGGAGUGUAAAGCCCUGUCAGGAGGGAAGAACGUUCCGCUAUGGCGGAAUUGACGGUACCUCCAGAGGAAGCCCCGGCUAACUCCGUGCCAGCAGCCGCGGUAAUACGGAGGGGGCGAGCGUUGUUCGGAAUCACUGGGCGUAAAGGGUGCGCAGGCGGAUCGGCCAGUCGAAUGUGAAACCUCCGGGCCCAACCCGGAGCCUGCAUCCGAAACUGCCGAUCUUGAGUACGGGGGAGGGAAGUGGAAUCUCAGGUGUAGCGGUGAAAUGCAUAGAUAUCUGAGAGAACACCGGUGGCGAAGGCGGCUUCCUGACCCGAUACUGACGCUCAGGCACGAAGGCUAGGGGAGCAAACAGGAUUAGAUACCCUGGUAGUCCUAGCGGUAAACGAUGGGCACUAGGUGUUGGAGGUAUCGACCCCUUCAGUGCCGUAGCUAACGUAUUAAGUGCCCCGCCUGGGGAGACGACCGCAAGGUU
rnacentral:rRNA from 1 species